rnacentral:rRNA from 1 species
UACGUAGGGCGCAAGCGUUAUCCGGAAUUAUUGGGCGUAAAGAGCUCGUAGGUGGUUUGUCGCGUUGUCCGUGAAAACUCACAACUCAAUUGUGGGCGUGCGGGCGAUACGGGCAGACUGGAGUACUGCAGGGGAGACUGGAAUUCCUGGUGUAGCGGUGAAAUGCGCAGAUAUCAGGAGGAACACCGGUGGCGAAGGCGGGUCUCUGGGCCGAUACUGACGCUGAGGAGCGAAAGCGUGGGGAGCAAACAGG